rnacentral:rRNA from 1 species
UUAAAUUGAAGAGUUUGAUCAUGGCUCAGAUUGAACGCUGGCGGCAGGCCUAACACAUGCAAGUCGAACGGUAACAGGAAGCAGCUUGCUGUUUCGCUGACGAGUGGCGGACGGGU